rnacentral:lncRNA from 1 species
UGAAAGAAAAGCAUCCCAGCUGUCCACCAUCAAAUGAAAACAUGGAGAGAAUUGAUCUUCAGUUCUUUUAUUUUCCAAACAGCAUUCUUACUGCAGAGAUAUUGUAAGAACUGAAUUUCCAUGUAUCCAUUUCUGUUUCCUUUUGUUUUAUGAAAAAUGUUAUGUCAUAGUUGCGCUGGAUCUGCUUUAAGAAAAAAAAUGACACCAUGCAGUGGCCGGUUUAUGGACUGUUCACUCCUGGCCAUCAAAAUAUGUCAUUUCAGCAGUUUAUUAUUUUUCAAAAAAGAACAAAUUCCUGCAGGCUGCUUUUACCCACCUGAGCAGGAGUUUCCAUCAAAACUAUUAUAAUCUUCUCUUCUCCAUAUGCCUUUUUGGUAGGAUUGGACUUCUUUUCCAUCUUUUCUACACAAGCAUCAGCCUGCAUAUGCACUUGUUACUCGAGGGAUUUUGUGUUGAGAGAGAGAGAAAGAGAGAGAAUGUGGAUGCUGGGCUGCUUAUGUGUAUAAUAAGUGUUGAUCAGUUUGUGACAUGAACUUGUGAUCUAUCCCAUUCUCAUUCAUCCUACAUAAUGCUCUUUAGAAAUAUCGAUCAGCCUAUUGUAGUACAUCAAUUGAAAUUAUUGGUGGAAACAGUUUGAGACCCGCAAAGUUAGACACAAAGCUGAUCAUCAUCAUUUAUAGGAUGCUGUCUAUUGCCAUUUGACCAUGGCAAUUAUCUUUAAGACUUGCAUGUUGACUAGGCAUCAGAUAUUUGUUUUAAGUAGCUAUGACAAACUUGAUUCUCAAGACCUGUUACUUGAAGCAUGCCUAUUAGGAGAAUCAUCUACUCUUAAAGAAAUAGAAUAACACAUUCGUAAGCAUUUAUUGACAUUUCUUCGUCUCUUCCGGCUGUGUUUUUUCACAUCAUACAGAUAUGUUGAAGUAUUUAGUCAUCGAUUAAAAUUUUGGUGAGAGUUUCACUUGCAAUAGUCUGUAUUUCUGGGUGC